CACACGGAAGAACAUAGAGCUCUGAGAAGUUGGUUCUCUCCCUGCAGGAAAUGGCUAGCUCAUCAUGUGAGCUGACCAAAACAGGAACACACACAAACCAGUGCACACAGCUUGUCUUGUCGCCCCGGAGGAGAUGAAGAGAAACCUCGGGAGUGGAUUGGACCAUUAUCUUAGUCUGAGUGUGAAAUAUGCUGUGACUCGCUACUCGGAGCGUACCGUCGUUCUAUGGUUCUAGGAGAAAAUAUGACAAGCACUGACUCGGCCUGCUGACUGCCAAGGCCGAACAUUGGGUACCGGGACCAGACAAAGCAGACUGAGUGAUGGCACCAGUACUCGGUCUGCUGAUGGCCAAGGCCGAACACCAGCGUGAUGCAGACAGAGCAGAUCCACGGCGAUAUGACCUGCGUCAACUACUUUUUAUUCAUUAUAUAGUCAUAUUUUAUGUGUAAGUGGAGUUGUCGAGUCUACCCAACUUCCCUUAGCGACAGUGAUGUAAUAGGGACUUUCCUAAUAAAUAGGAAGGCAUGUGGGCUUCUUUUUAGAACAUAGUUUGGAUCUGUAACUAGAGUACAGCCAAAACACUGGUCUUCUCGUGAACUCUGCAUGAUUCCUUGCUUCUUGUCUGAUUAAUAAAUAUCAUUAGUGUAUGAACCUGA